CGGGGCGUGGCGCAGCCUGGUAGCGCACCUGCCUUGGGCGCAGGGGGUCGGUGGUUCGAAUCCACUCGCCCCGACCA
rnacentral:tRNA from 1 species